GCUCUGUCCAAGUGCGAGCUGCAAUCUAGUCUUGCCUUCCGUCUGCCACUUUUCCCCCUCUUUUUUUUUUCUUUUAGGCUACGUUCUUUAUUGGUCACCCUCACCGCAAGAAUGUGAGAGAGGCACAGUCAUCCCUACUUUGUAGAUGGGAAACUGAGGCUCUGUGAGGUUAAGUCACUUGCUCAUUAAGUGGACGGAUGGGGCCACACUCAGAACUGGGAUCCUAUCCCCCAGUCCAAGCCUUCACUACCACACCAAACCAUUCCAGUAUUUUGUUGAUGCUUCAAAUAAAAUAUGAUCUGUGUAUGAAUAAAAAGAUUGGAAGGGGCUGGGUGCGGUGGCUCAUGCCUGUAAUCCCAGCACUUUGGGAGGCCAAGGCAGGUGGAUCACUUGAGGCCAGGAGUUCUAGACCAGCCUGGACAACAUGUUGAAACCCCGUCUCUACUAAAAAUAUAAAAAUUAGCCUGACAGGGUGGCGGGUGCCUGUAAUUUCAGCUACUUGGGAUGCUGAGGCUGGAUAAUCCCUUGAACCUGGGAAGCAGAAGAGGUUGCAGUGAGCCAAGAUUGUGCCACUGCACUCCAGCUUAGGUGACGAAAAGAAAAUUGGAAGGAAAUUUCACAAACAGAGAAAGACCUUUCUUCUUACUACUUUGAGAAACCUGUGAAGUGAAAUCAUUGGCUCAUGAUCACCCAUGUCUCCCAACAUGAGAAAGCCUACAUGAGGCCCCUGGCACAUCCGAGGUGUGUGGGGCACCGGGGCCCCCAGAAGAGGAGCCUUUGGAUCUGAUGGGAGCAAGGGCUCUACUGAGGCUGCCAGAGAUGCCCUCGGUAAUGGGGGUGACAUAGAGGUGCCAGCACAGCCUGUCAGGCAACGAGGGAAGGAGGGACGGUGGGUCUGACUCAAAGGACACGAGCUGCCUUUGCUGUAGUGCAACCGUGGCCCAUUGCUCAUUGUGCUGCUCUCAGGACUCAGAGUAUGGAAGCGGGACCAUUGCCGUUACAAACCCGCAGGGAAGGGGCUGAGCACCCGGAGGGCUGUGUGUGCACACAUGACGUUAUCGGAGUCAGGAAGGCAGCCAGCCGCGAGGAGAUGGGAAACUGGUCCACGGCACCCGGGGAGACCUUCACAGCCCACGCAUUAGCCCUCGUCAGCCGGUGUCCCGGCGCUCCCCACAAACCCAGACUCUCUCCUUGGCUAACAAUGGCCUCCACCAGCCGACCUCUUUGAGCCUCUGUGUUCUCAUUUCUUCCAUCUGCCACACAUGAUGCCACAAGGUCCCUGCUCUGUCUCUCCAACAUGCCACUCAUUCCUGACUCACAGCCUUCAUGCUCACACCCCUCCCUUGUCCUAUCCUCACUCUCAGUCAUCCUGUUCAAUGCCUUCAUGGCACUUAUCAUAAGCUCUUACGAUCAUGUUUAUAGGUCUGGUUUCAUUGUUGCUGUAGGGGGGUCUGUCUCCCCCAUUUAGGCCUAACAGGCCAGGAAUCUUGUCUGUCUGAUUUACUCCUAACAUAUGUUAAGUGUUCAAUAAAUUUUUGCUGAAUAAAUGAAGGAAAAAAAUCAUGCAGCCUCUGAGAUGUCAUGGGAUGACAG
rnacentral:lncRNA from 10 species